CCUACGGGCGGCAGCAGUAGGGAAUAUUGCUCAAUGGGGGAAACCCUGAAGCAGCAACGCCGCGUGGAGGAUGAAGGUUUUCGGAUUGUACACUUCUUUUGUUAGAGAAGAUAAUGACGGUAUCUAACGAAUAAGCACCGGCUAACUCCGUGCCAGCACCCGCGGGAAUACGGAGGGUGCAAGCGUUUCUCGGAAUCACUGGGCGUAAAGAGCGCGUAGGCGGGAUAGCAAGUCAGAUGUGAAAUCCUAUGGCUUAACCAUAGAACUGCAGUUGAAACUGUUAGUGUAGAGUAUGGGUGAGGUAGGUGGAAUUCUUGGUGUAGAGGUAAAAUCCGUAGAGAUCAAGAGGAAUACUCAUUGCGAAGGCGACCUGCUAGAACAUAACUGACGCUGAUGCGCGAAAGCGUGGGGAGCAAACAGGAUUAGAUACCCGUGUAGUC
rnacentral:rRNA from 1 species